rnacentral:lncRNA from 1 species
UUCACUUGCAUUGGGAGCAAUGAUUUUAAAUGCCUUGUAAAGAACACUACGUUGCACCUGAGUAACUUUUGCACCUCUCAAAAAGACUUGUAUGUUUCGAGCCUUGAAAACUCUUCCUGAAACUUGUUGAUUGCUGAAACUCAGUCUUUGAAGCCAACUACGACCUUAUUUGAACUGAACGAACUUAAUGCUUCUUGCUCAUGGUCCCUUGUGUACUGAGUCAUGGCUAUACACACUUGAGUUGUCACAUCUUUUAUACCAAUCUUUUUUGACAAACUCUAGUGGUAGACGACUCCCAAAACCUUUUCCUCCUUUUAAGCUUUCAUUGUUUGAUGAGUGAGGCCUUUUUCGGAAAGUCUUACAUGUGCAUAAUGUUGAGAGUAUCGGGAACGACAAUGUUUGAUCUUCAUUCUUGCUAGAUUGGGCACUCUAUUGUCUAGCUAUAGGUGGGGGGUGAGUGUUGUGAUUAUGAUUUGGGAAAAAUGAAAAAGGAAAAGAAUAGACUCUUUGUGCUUAAGUGAAUUGUUUUAUUGGGAUCAGUAGAGAAGCCUCUAGCUCAAGUUUUGAAAAGUCUUGGCCCCCAGCCUACAAAAAAAAAAAAUAAUAAUAAAAUAAAAAGGGGGCUAGCAAAGUUGUUAAGAGCUAAGAAAUGUUUUGAGGUUGUGAAAAAUCCCUUGUAGAUUUCAAAGAGAAAGAGUUGAUGUUCUUAGGAUCUUUUGGUGAGAGAUGUGAGUUGGGUUUGACAUUGGGAAAUGAUUGUGUGAUUUGUAUGUUUGGGAAAAGGGUAGAACAAUGGAGAUUGAGCAUUGUAUGCAUGAGUUGGUCUCUUUCUUAGAUAUAUUAUGUGCAAUGUCAAGGCUACUUGUUUCGAGAGUAAACCACCUUAAAGAUCAUAUAUCUUGAACCUCUUGACUCUUUUAAAUAAAAGCCUUCCCUUACCCAACCAAAUGAUUUGGACCAACUGACCAUUUGCAAGAAUUCACCUGAUGUUUUAUGCUUAAUGAAUAUGAUAGUUGGUUGAUUUGAA